CACGUAGGGUGCGAGCGUUGUCCGGAAUUAUUGGGCGUAAAGAGCUCGUAGGCGGUGUGUCGCGUCGGCCGUGAAAACCUGCAGCUUAACUGUGGGCUUGCGGUCGAUACGGGCAUCACUGGAGUUCGGCAGGGGGAGACUGGAAUUCCUGGUGUAGCGGUGAAAUGCGCAGAUAAUCAGGAGGAACACCGAUGCGAAGGCAGGGAUCUCCUGGGCCGGAA
rnacentral:rRNA from 1 species